GCGGGAGUGGCGAAAUUGGUAGACGCGCAGGAUUUAGGUUCCUGUAUUGGAAACAAUGUGGAGGUUCAAGUCCUCUCUCCCGCACCA
rnacentral:tRNA from 1 species